rnacentral:lncRNA from 1 species
UCAAGCCAAAUGUGCUCUACAAGGACAAUAAAAGACAUGCUAGCAUCGUUUGCUCAAACACAAUUGAUAGAGAAAAGGGGAAAAGAUGUUGUGAACAUACCAAAGUCCAUAAGAAGUGCGCCAUUUGGAAUGCAUUCUGGUUGGUCAACAAGCAGAGACAAUCAGUCAGAAAGGUUCUUUAACAUCUCCUUUUUAUAUCUUUAGUUUCAUGACUAUGAAAAUUCAUUUACGGCAGGCAAAAGUCGGCCCGAACUACCUCAAACAAAGUAAGAUGUAUGAGAAAGAGAAUCCAUUGAGGUCGAUUGAACCAGAAAUACUUGUUGCUUGGCUCCACGAUCGGAGCUCCUUUUAUAACACUUGUUCGGUCUUGAAUUUCACGGGCCAUUUCCAUGAUGACGAUUUCCAGCUUCAUCCCGACCAGCAAGAGAACCUGGAAAGGACAUGCUGUUACUCCAGUAACUAGAAAACCCAAAUCAGAAAGGUAAUAAGAAACAGCAAUGAAACAGCUUACUAUCAGCGGUACAAAAGAGAUCCAAA